UACGGAGGCAGCAGUGGGGAAUAUUGCACAAUGGGCGCAAGCCUGAUGCAGCCAUGCCGCGUGUAUGAAGAAGGCCUUCGGGUUGUAAAGUACUUUCAGUCGUGAGGAAGGUGUUAAGGUUAAUAACCUUAGCAAUUGACGUUAGCGACAGAAGAAGCACCGGCUAACUCCGUGCCAGCAGCCGCGGUAAUACGGAGGGUGCGAGCGUUAAUCGGAAUUACUGGGCGUAAAGGGCACGCAGGCGGUUAAUUAAGUUGGAUGUGAAAUCCCCGGGCUUAACCUGGGAAUGGCAUUCAAGACUGGUUAGCUAGAGUCUUGUAGAGGGGGUAGAAUUCCAUGUGUAGCGGUGAAAUGCGUAGAGAUGUGGAGGAAUACCGGUGGCGAAGGCGGCCCCUGGACAAAGACUGACGCUCAUGUGCGAAAGCGUGGGGAGCAAAC
rnacentral:rRNA from 1 species